CACACACACACACACACACACAAAAGCGCAGAGUGCGUGUGUGUGUGUGUGUGUGUGUGUGUGUGUGUGUGUGUGUGUGUGUGUGUGUGUGUGUGCAUGUUCGCUUGUGCAUGGCAACCCAGACCAUGUUAAAGGCUGAAAGUUUUUUUCAGGAUGGAUUUAAUAACUCCCCGGGUGGUAAAAGACAACAGUGCCUGGAUGUGGCGAAGUAGAAGGAGAAUAAGAGAUGACUGGAGCCCUGAAACCGAAAUGACUCACCAAAGCUUGUGCACUGUGCCAAUGAGCAAUGUGCUCUGUGCGCGCCGUCCAAUUACGCCUCCUCGCUCCGUCAAACACUCUCCUUCUGGAUGGAUGAGCUGUGGCCAAACCAACAUAAAGCCCAGCCUUGGUGAUUCUGCCAUUCAAGGGUGCGACGACAGGCCGUCCCGUAACCGGGGACACAUGACCCAUGGCUGCCUCACUCGUCUGGAGGAGCACAUCCAUGUUGAGCCUACAGCCGUGUUUUAUUUUAAUCAAAGAAUCAAGUUUAUCCUCAAGCACCUCAGACAAAGGUGAGACGAAGAGCCAACUCAAACUCCAAGACCCAAAGACAACAGGCUCGGACAACAGAUUGACCACGAAUCUGAAAACACCCCCCCACCGAGGACACUAGGCUGCCAGUAGACACAUGCAGACAACACAGGGGAGGGCUCUAUUGGAGCGGCUCUACUUCUUCAAUCCAAACCAUCCUUGAACACAAGGCAGCCCAGGGGACCACUGACGUCCUCAUCCAUCCGUUGUGUCUGUGUCCUUGUACAGCCUACUGCCGCUCUAACGCCCACUUCUAAUACAUAAGGGAUGUUUUUCCCUUGGGUAAUCUUCGGAGAGAGAACGGUCAUCGCGUUUCUCCUUUCUCCAUGAAGACCAUGGCCUGUCAUUACGACUCAUGCGUCACCAGAGACCAAAAAGGUCAUUGCUGGAAGGGA
ensembl:lncRNA